GCGCGCCGCCGCGCAGCUGCCCGCGGACGUGCGCGCGCUCUGCCAGCAGGAGCCGGUAGCAUUCAGUACUCCGCCCCCGACCGCGGCGGUCCCCCAGGCGGUCCCGCCCCCAGCCGCCCCCGUCCCGCCGCCCACAGCCGUCGAACCUUUACCGCCCGGAAUGGAAUAGUGGUCAAACAACCUUAUGUGGUAUAUCAUGGACCUAUACCUUGCCGAACCCCGCGAAAACUGAGUGAAGACAGUGUGAAAUUGAUAAUAAUGUGUAAUAAUGAUAGAUGUUAUAAUUUUCAGCAUUUUUGGGUAACGAUAUUCAUAAAAUUGUAUCGAUCGUUUCCAUUUAUAAUUUGUAAUAGUUUUGUGUCGACUUUGGAUUGUUCAAAUCUGUUUUCUCAUAGAGUGGGGGAUAGUCUGAAGUAAAUGCCCUAACAUAUUAAGCCUUUAAAAAGGGCCGGGAAACUUUGAAGAUAUUCCGUCAAUUGAAAGAGAUACAAAUAAUACCAGCUUAUACUUCUCACGGUAGAGCAGGCCUCUUUCCAUAUUUUUAAUUUAGACUACGAAUAAUUAACGAACGCCUUAAUCAAUUUGCCAGAUAAAAAAUACAUUAUAUGUAAAUUAGAAUAUAUAAUUUUGUUACGUUUAAUAUCCAAAUAUAAACCACAAGCAAUAAAAUGAUUUGAAUUACAAACGCUCAUGUAAAAAGAUAUUUACUAUGUAUAUUUUACGACUACGGUUUUGAAAAUAAAUGUAGAUUUUAAGGUAAUA